UACGGAGGGGGCUAGCGUUGUUCGGAAUUACUGGGCGUAAAGCGCACGUAGGCGGCUUUGUAAGUUAGAGGUGAAAGCCCGGGGCUCAACUCCGGAAUUGCCUUUAAGACUGCAUCGCUAGAAUUGUGGAGAGGUAAGUGGAAUUCCGAGUGUAGAGGUGAAAUUCGUAGAUAUUCGGAAGAACACCAGUGGCGAAGGCGACUUACUGGACACAUAUUGACGCUGAGGUGGCGAAAAGCGUGGGGGAGCAAACAGG
rnacentral:rRNA from 1 species